GGGGAUUUUCGAAGAGAAAACACGUGUUUUCCACAUAAAUGGGGGAUUUGCGAAGAGAAAACGCGUGUUUUUCGCAUAAAUGGGGGAUUUGCAAAUUGAAAAUGCGUGAUUUUCAAGUUAAAUGGGGGAUUUGCAAAGAGAAAACGCGUGAUUUUCGGGUUAAAUGGAAGAUUCCUGAAGAGAAAACGCGUGAUUUUUGCUUUAAUGGCGGAUUUGUGAAGAGAAAACGUGUGUUUUUCGCUUAAAUGGGGGAUAUGCAAAUUGAAAAUGUGCGAUUUUCGGGUUAAAUGGGGGAUUUUCGAAGAGAAAACACGUGUUUUCCACAUAAAUGGGGGAUUUGCGAAGAGAAAACACGUGAUUUUCGCAUAAAUGGGGGAUUUGAGAAGAGAAAAUGCGUGUUUUUCGCUUAAAUGGGGGAUUUGCGAAGAGAAAACGCGUGAUUUUCACUUAAAUGGAAGAUUUCUGAAGAGAAAACGCGUGAUUUUUGCUUAAAUGGCGGAUUUGUGAAGAGAAAACGCGUGUUUUUCGCUUAAAUGUGGGAUUUCUGAAGAGAAAACGCGUGAUUUUCGGGUUAAUGGGAAAUUUUCGAAGAGAAAACACGUGUUUUCCGCAUAAAUGGGGGAUUUGCGAAGAGAAAACACGUGAUUUUCAGGUUUAAUGGAAGAUUCAUGAAGAGAAAACGCGUGAUUUUCAAGUUAAAUGGGGGAUGUCCGAAGAGAAAACGCGUGAUUUUCGCUGAAAUGGGGUAUUUGAGAAGAGAAAAUUCGUGAUUUUCGCAUAAGUGGGGGAUUCUCGAAGAGAAAACUCUUGAUUUUCACUUAAACUGACGAUUCUCAAAGAGAAAACGCGAGAUUUUCGCUUAAAUGGGGGUUUUGCGAUGGGAAAACGUGUGAUUUCUGGUUAAAUGGGGGAUUUCUGAAGAGAAAACUCGUGGUUUUUUGUGUUAAUUGGGGGAUUUGCGAAGGGAAAACGCGUGAUUUUCGGGUUAAAUGUUGGAUUCUCUGAGAGAAAACGCGUGAUUUUUG
ensembl:lncRNA